GCUCCAAGAUAAAGCCUUGAGCUGGGUCUGCAGGGAGCAGUGUGAGCCAGUUAGCAUGUGGUGGUGACGGCCACAGCCUCUUGCUGGGCUCUAAAUCAUGGCUAAAACCCAAGAGCUAAAAGCAUCACCCCUUUCUGGCACUUUCAAUUGAAAAGCCAUGCUAUAUUUUUGUUUCCAAUUAUAGAAGGAGAAAAAUAAAAGCAUCUGGAA
rnacentral:lncRNA from 1 species